rnacentral:misc_RNA from 1 species
UUUUUUCAUUAAUUUUUGAUAGAGCGAGUGAGUAAACACAAGACUCUAAUUAUUGAAAAUUAAGAUCAGUAAACAUUUGUAAUGUUAUUUGUAAAAAUGGGCAUCGUAAGACACCACAAAUUUAAGUUUAGUUACGUGGGACGCAAUAGUCGGAUCCGAGCCGAGGCUCUUCACUUUCCAUUGUUUUUUGGCAGCAACACUUUCCCACCGGAGUGGACUAGUGAGGCUAUCAAAAGAGGUGUGGUAAUGAUCCUUCCGCAGGUUCACCUACGGAAA